rnacentral:rRNA from 1 species
CCUACGGGAGGCAGCAGUAGGGAAUCUUCGGCAAUGGACGGAAGUCUGACCGAGCAACGCCGCGUGAGUGAAGAAGGUUUUCGGAUCGUAAAGCUCUGUUGUAAGAGAAGAACGAGUGUGAGAGUGGAAAGUUCACACUGUGACGGUAUCUUACCAGAAAGGGACGGCUAACUACGUGCCAGCAGCCGCGGUAAUACGUAGGUCCCGAGCGUUGUCCGGAUUUAUCGGGCGUAAAGCGAGCGCAGGCGGUUAGAUAAGUCUGAAGUUAAAGGCUGUGGCUUAACCAUAGUACGCUUUGGAAACUGUUUAACUUGAGUGCAAGAGGGGAGAGUGGAAUUCCAUGUGUAGCGGUGAAAUGCGUAGAUAUAUGGAGGAACACCGGUGGCGAAAGCGGCUCUCUGGCUUGUAACUGACGCUGAGGCUCGAAAGCGUGGGGAGCAAACAGGAUUAGAUACCCUGGUAGUCCACGCCGUAAACGAUGAGUGCUAGGUGUUAGACCCUUUCCGGGGUUUAGUGCCGCAGCUAACGCAUUAAGCACUCCGCCUGGGGAGUACGACCGCAAGGUUGAAACUCAAAGGAAUUGACGG